GGCUGUCACUUCUUCCUCCUCUCCUGCCAUCACUUCCUUCCCAGACCCCUGUCAUGGCUGCCUCCAUCAUGAGGCCUACCCCUGUUAUGCACGUCCUAUUCGGAGGCUUGCAGCUUUCCUUAAACUCUACAUAUUAUAGACAGACAAUUGCAUAGACAGAGAAAUUAUAAUGACUAAAGCAAUCAUGUUAUUUUUGGUGGUACAGCUACUAUAACACAAAAAAAAA